UGCUGGAACAAAGAAAAAAAAUCAGAUGUUUCAAAAAAAUGUUUUGAUAAAUCUUUCUCCUUAUCUUCCUCUUAGUAAAUAUUGUUUUGAUUGUCAAAUGAUACAAGCAGAUAUCCCUCUCAAGCGAAAUUCCUUAUCUCUUAUCUUCUCAAUAACCAACUAAAUUAAAACAAAGUGCGAGUGCAAAAUUGUCGUCAGAUAAGGGAGUCAUUAGCAUUAAUGCAUC
rnacentral:lncRNA from 1 species